rnacentral:rRNA from 1 species
GACGAACGCUGGCGGCGUGCCUAACACAUGCAAGUCGAGCGAAUGAAGUAUCUUCGGGAACGGAUUUAGCGGCGGACGGGUGAGUAACACGUGGGCAACCUGCCUCAUAGAGGGGAAUAGUCUUCCGAAAGGGAGAUUAAUACCGCAGAGGACUGUAGUACCGCAUGGUUCAGCUAUUAAAGGAGCAAUCCGCUAUGGGAUGGGCCCGCGGCGCAUUAGCGAGUUGCUGAGGUAACGUCUCACCAAGGCGACGAUGCGUAGCCGACCUGAGAGGGUGAUCGGCCACAUUGGGACUGAGACACGGCCCAGACUCCUACGGGAGGCAGCAGUGGGGAAUAUUGCACAAUGGGGGAAACCCUGAUGCAGCAACGCCGCGUGAGUGAUGACGGCCUUCGGGUUGUAAAGCUCUGUCUUCAGGGACGAUAAUGACGGUACCUGAGGAGGAAGCCACGGCUAACUACGUGCCAGCCGCCGCAGUAA